rnacentral:rRNA from 1 species
CAGUCGCCGCGGGAAUACGUAGGUGGCAAGCGUUGUCCGGAAUUAUUGGGCGUAAAGCGAGCGCAGGCGGUUAGAUAAGUCUGAAGUUAAAGGCUGUGGCUUAACCAUAGUACGCUUUGGAAACUGUUUAACUUGAGUGCAAGAGGGGAGAGUGGAAUUCCAUGUGUAGCGGUGAAAUGCGUAGAUAUAUGGAGGAACACCGGUGGCGAAAGCGGCUCUCUGGCUUGUAACUGACGCUGAGGCUCGAAAGCGUGGGGAGCAAACAGGAUUAGAUACCCCAGUAGUCCCUGUCUCUUAUACC